ACUGCUCAGUAACACGUGGAUAACCUGCCCUUGGGUCCGGCAUAACCCCGGGAAACUGGGGAUAAUUCCGGAUAACGCAUAUAUGCUGGAAUGCUUUCUGCGUAAAAUGGAUUCGUCUGCCCAAGGAUGGGUCUGCGGCCUAUCAGGUAGUAGUGGGUGUAAUGUACCUACUAGCCGACGACGGGUACGGGUUGUGAGAGCAAGAGCCCGGAGAUGGAUUCUGAGACAUGAAUCCAGGCCCUACGGGGCGCAGCAGGCGCGAAAACUUUACAAUGCGGGAAACCGUGAUAAGGGGACACCGAGUGCCAGCAUCAUAUGCUGGCUGUCCGGGUGUGUAAAAUACACCCGUUAGCAAGGGCCGGGCAAGACCGGUGCCAGCCGCCGCGGUAACACCGGCGGCCCGAGUGGUGAUCGUGAUUAUUGGGUCUAAAGGGUCCGUAGCCGGUUUGGUCAGUCCUCCGGGAAAUCUGAUAGCUCAACUAUUAGGCUUUCGGGGGAUACUGCCAGGCUUGGAACCGGGAGAGGUAAGAGGUACUACAGGGGUAGGAGUGAAAUCUUGUAAUCCCUGUGGGACCACCUGUGGCGAAGGCGUCUUACAAGAACGGGUUCGACGGUGAGGGACGAAAGCUGGGGGCACGAACCGGAUUAGAUACCCGGGUAGUCCCAGCCGUAAACGAUGCUCGCUAGGUGUCAGGCAUGGCGCGACCGUGUCUGGUGCCGCAGGGAAGCCGUGAAGCGAGCCACCUGGGAAGUACGGCCGCAAGGCUGAAACUUAAAGGAAUUGGCGGGGGAGCAC
rnacentral:rRNA from 1 species